UCACAUCUAUGCUGGAAUCAGCCUCACACGGGUCACAGCACAGACAUGAGGGUCCCCAAACAGCUCCUGGUGUUGCAGUUGCUCUGGCUUAUAGGUGCCAGAUGUGAUAUUCAGAUGACCCAGUCUCCAGCUCUCUUGUCUGCAUCUCUGGGGGACAGUGUCACCAUCACAUGCCAAUCAAGUCAGAACAUUUAUGGUAAUUUAGCAUGGUAUCAGCAGGAACCAGGGAACCGUCCUAAGCUCCUCAUAUAUGGUGCAAGCAGCUUGGUAAAUGGGGUCCCAUCGAGGUUCAGUGGCAGUGGAUCUGGCACACAGUUUUCUCUCAAGAUCAGCAGCCUGCAGUCUAAAGACAUUGCAACUUAUUACUGUCAACAGUAUAAUAACUUUCCUCCCACAGUGAUUCAAGUCAUAACAUAA